AGUCGUAACAAGGUUUCCGUAGGUGAACCUGCGGAAGGAUCAUUAACACGUAUCCAACGUUAAACCCCCCGUGAACCUUUAUUGCGAACCACGCCUUUGUUAGAAAGUAGCAAUCUCUGGUAAAUCAUCGCCGAACAGUUUUGAUUCAGGGAUCUCUGCGAAGAGAGCGGUUGUACCGCGAGGUAAGUGGCCUGGCAUCCCUCUGCUUGUUAGUCUCUGAAAGUGUCACUGGAUCUGUACGGAUGGCGCAGUCAUGAUCGCUGGAGGCCGACACGGCCGGCGACCGGGUCACCGGGCAUAGACCCCCCUAUCACCCCUUUGCAUGAAAACGGGCCUGCGCUUAAUUGUGCGGCCACCAAACUCGAACAACUGUUAACAAUGGAUAUCUUGGUUCUC
rnacentral:misc_RNA from 1 species